rnacentral:lncRNA from 1 species
GAUAAACUCAAAGUGAAGGGUGGGGGCUUCUCAGCUCCUUCAUGGAGGUUGGACACCAAGGGCCCUUCAAAACACAGAAGCUUCUUGCUCACGGCAGAAAGCCCAAUUCCAUCUGGCCCCUGCAGGUUGGCUCAGCACUGGGGAAUCAGAGUCCCCUCCAUGACCAAGGCACCACUCCACUGACAGGUACUUGGCUCACUCUGAGUGUUCAGAGAUUCCUAGACACCUACUUACCCCUAAUUCUUCUGGUCUAUUCCCUCCAAUUCCCUCCAUAAAAACUGACCCAUCCUUUGCAUCAACAAUAGUGGCUUGAUGACGCUCUUCAGUAGAGGAUUUUGCAUUUCAUAUGGGGAAAAAUGAUGUUAUUCUAAGUAAUAUAACAGACCAAGAGAAGAGCUUUCAAAUUCCCUUAAUAUCAUCCCAUAUAGAUAUUUAUGUCUUCUUUCUAUGGGUCUGGUGAACAUUUCUCAACUGAAUGUGAUUUUCUUACAUACACUCCAUUGGAGAGGCAUACCAGUCUAGUUUCAGCUCAACCACUAACUCCUUCCAUUAAUACUGAAGCAAUGUUGUCUAUAAGGCUCCACAAAUUUCAAAGUACUAAUAAUUUUUAGCCCCUUUCAUGCCUCCUUUCCAGCCUUUCUGGAGGUGAAUAAAGUCAGAAAGUGCAUUCAAAAGGCUGUGAACACCUCCAGCUUAUCUAGGUCUUCUUACUGGAGCUGACAGCCAAUGAGUGUAAUGAUACAAAAAAGGUAACAAUCCAUUUCUUUUUCUCCUGCCAUCCCCAACUCAGACUCUGUUAAUCAGCUUGCUUGGCUGGCCUCCAACCAUAGGUCCAGGGGCUGAGACAAGGUCCUUUUGAGCUCCUAUGUGGGAGGCUCUGGAAAGCUUAGCAACACUUUCCAACAACUUUGCCAGGUAAGUAGGUAAGUCUCCUUGUUCUCAUUUCCAGAGAAGACAACUGAAACCCAAAGAAAGACUUGCCCAAGCCAUGAUUGGCUAGUUGAUGGCCAAGACAGCAUUAGAACACAAGUUUGUCGAUUCUGUCAUGCCAUAUUUGGUGACCAUGACUGCUGCUUUUGCUGCUGGGUGGAUUAGGCUGAAUUGGGUAGGUAGAAAAGGAAGUGAGGGAGUGAAAGAGCUUUAGUUUUGAGAUGACUGCCAGAACUUAAAUUGAAGGAGUAUGUUACCUUCUUAACAUUCAAUUAAAAGAAUAGAGCAAGAAAAGACACUGAUUGUUUUCUUGCUGAAAGACAAGGCUGAAUCCCUCUGUCUUACCUGGGCUGGGACAGGGCUUUCCGGCCUCAUGGGGGCAGUUUACCAUUUCUGGUAACCUUGUGAUGUUUGCCACUUUUCAUGACAAUAUUUAAUGUAGACCAGCUACCUGCUCACAGAUCAACUGCCACAGCUGGUAAGGGCAGUAAUUUGACACCAGCAACCUGGGAUUUUUAGCAACAGGAUCUGAUUGUUGCCAAGGGAAUUCUCCCAGAAGUUUCAGACCUGACCCUGCUCCUGGCAGCUUCCUUAUUGCCCUGGUGGCUUGUGGGUUCAGUGAUCCCAAAUGUUGCAUUACAAAGCUAUUGCCUGUUUUUGCCCUCUUUGUUGAUGUGUCUUCCCUUUCCCAGAGGGAUAUACAGAGAAGGGAGGCAAAAUAACCAAUGAGGAAAGCUGUAUAAGGCAUACUGCUGAACUGUAAAAAAUUUAUUGUAUAAACUUUACAAGUCUCCUCCCCAACAGGAGCCUUUGUUAUCUCAUUUAUAACCUAAGUGAGUGAGACUAGAUGAUCUUUAAGGGCACUUUAAUAGCUGCCAUUCUUGAGUCCCUAUGGGACAAGAGGAUCAUGUUAGGCAAGGCUGAGACCACAAGAAAUCAAUGUCACACCUGUCCAGAUCCUGCUAAAUCAAUUGCCAAUAGCUCUUUCUUUCAUUUUGGUCACACAACCACUACUUUUUGAGCAUUUGUUAUGUAUUGAAUACUGAACCAAAGGCUUUACAUGCAUUAUCUCCUGUCAUUCUCACAAUAACCUUAUGAGGUAGGUAUUAUACUUACAUACAUUUUGUGGGUGUAGAAAACUUGAGCUCAGAGAGGUGAAAUGAUGUAUCCAAGGUUGCCUAACUAGCUAAUGGAAGAACUAGGAUUUAAGCUCAUGUUUAACCUCAAAGCCUAUGUGCAUAACCACAACACUGAAAACACAGCUUGGGAGAAUUGAGAAGAGGGAGCAAGGAUGCUGACUCUAGGGUCUGGUACUUUCCUCAAGUCAGGGAGGCAGGAUGAUGACCAAAUUUUCCCCUCUCUGCUGCAUAGAGGAACCCACUGAAGCUUGGGACCCCUAGAAAUGCCAUAGCUACAGGACUCAGGCCUGAUGAGCUUCCAGCUGAGCACUGGGUGUCACUCGGGCUUUACCUGCUUAUCUUCAGGAUCUCUCUUCUGGUUAGGAACCCUAUGCCUAUUUUGCUCACUUCCCUAUUCUGGUGCUUUGGUUGGUCCUUUGAGCAAGAUCCCCGGGGCUAAGGGUGUGACUUCAUCAUUCCUUUCUCUCUCUUUCCCUCUAGGGUCACAUCUCCCAGGAAGAUCUCACUUCCCCACAGAAGCUCUUGGCCUGGCCUCCUGCAGUGCCACGCUCCGUGUAUUUGACAAGCUGAGUUGGACACUCCAUGUGGUAGAGUGUCAGUUUGUCAAAUACCCCAAGUGCGGCACAUGCUUACCAGCUCUAGGCCAGGGCAGAUGGGAUAUGACGAAUGGACUGCCAGCUGGAUACAAGGAUGCUCACCAAGCACCAAGUUCUCACAAGUUAUUUUAUGUGACUUUGCAGGAACUGAGGCAUUAUAUCUGAGGACACCAGGGGAAAAGUGUGGCAUCUCAGGGAAAUACAGCCCUGGGCUGUGUCUACACACACCAUGAGAGUGCUGAUGGGGGCGCAAUAGUCUUGAAAAUGUAUAAAGUGUCCAGGAAUGGAAGUGCUCUUUGAUUCAUUAUUAUUUUCUUCCUUCAUAUUCCCCUCCCAGAGUCUCCUAUCUAGGACAUCAGCAUUCUCACACAAGCCUAAUGGCUUAUCUGAGUAAGCAGGGCUUAGAAAUUCACUUUCUUGAUACUCAGUCUUGCCUUCUAAACACUCCUUGAUCUUGCCUACCUCUCCCCUUUUCCACAUGUCUUUUCCUGUAGGAACACUUUCUCCAUUUAUUCCUGCCUAUCCAAUUCUUCCCUAUAUUUCCUGGACCAGCUAAAGUCCAGUGUUUCCAGAGACUUUUGAAAGUCAACUUACACUUUUUCCUUCUUCAUUCACAAAGCUCUUCUUCCCUGGGCCCUGGUAUGUAUGCCUUUCUCUCCUACUGUCUAAUAGCACCUCGUAAAUUGUCAAUGAACUUUUCUAAGGGGUAUUCUUGAAUUCCCAACUAGAUUGUGAGCUUCUGGAAGACAAGGCUAUGUCUUUGAUUGUUGUCUCCCCUACCACAGCCCAGUACUUUAGUUACAGAAAAUAAUAAAUAUUUACUGAUUGAUUGACUUUCCUCUUGUCCACUAGCUUUAGGUUUGGGGGCCAAAUUCUACCCUGGAUUUUGAAAAAUUCAAACUGUGAACACCACAAUGUUAUAGAGCAUAUGAGGUAGUAGCCAGCAUGAAGGAUGUUUUCUUCCUGAGAAACAGUGUCAAGGGCUGGAGGAAGAGGGCAAAAUAGCAGACUCAGAGGGCAAAUAAAUUUUGGUAUUACUUGGUCACACAAGGUUAUACAGGUGUUUUCUUGUAGGAUUUUUCAGAGCCUUUAAUAGUCUAAUGUUGCAUUGAGAAUCUCAAAGAGGAAACCAUAGAAUGAGGCAUUUGCCAUACCUAUCUGAUCAUGAAUUUUCUUUUCCCCCACAGCCUUCUCCUGUGUCAAUGUCCAAUGAAGCACGAUUUGGGAAACUGUCCUAGAGAAACUUUAUACCUUCCCGCUCUUCUGGAGAUCUUUUCCUCUUUUCAUUCAUCUACUUUCCCCAACCAGCCAUCUGCCUAAGAAAGGUCACAUGUUAUCAUCUCAUUUUUGUUUAGCCUCUGCAGCUGUGGACUAUCUUUAUUACAUAGGAAUUCUUUACUAGCUUGUCCUGUAUUUAAAAAUAUUCUAAGUUUUGAGGCAAAGAAGAUCCAGAUGCUGCAAUAAAUAUAUGCACUGAGGAGUUCACAGGCCUGACUUUUGGUCU